rnacentral:lncRNA from 1 species
GCCGCUCUAAGCUUGCAGGUAAAACAAAGAUUUUGUAAUGUAACACCUGUAUAUGCAUAUACACUGGCUGUUUGAAUUAUGAAUUUAUUUACAACUUGCCUAGUUUAUCAUAAAUGAUUAUUGUUAUAUUAUACAAACAGAAAAGAUUUCUUUUAAAUACAAAGACUGCAAAUGAAUACAUGAAAAAAUUACACACAUGUACAAUAUUUAUAAUUUAUAAAUGCAAAGUUAAGAUCUCUUUAAGUUAUUGCACUUGUGCAUUUUACAAAGUUUUUAUAUGUCAGAUGUAUAAAAUAUUUGUAAAUUUAUAACUCAUUAACUGUAAUGAAAUUGGAUAUUAACUCAAAAUUCUUUCUCCUUCUAAAAGAGAGCCCACUAAAACUGUGGAUACAGAUCCAUUGAGUCUAAAAAUCAGCAUUAUUACGAGAUUCAUUGUAUUUUUGAUAUCCUGUAACCCAUAUGUCACUCCAGCAGCUUCCUGUCAGCAAGGAGAUUAUAGAUGCCUUGGCUAAGUAGAGAUAGAGAAUCUUUUGUUCAUAAGGACUUGUUAAAAACAAAAGUCACCUUUUCAGAAAGAGUCAGGAUACUGCAUUUCUAUAAAUUUGGUAACUGUUUCACAGUGUUUUGGGCACACACAUUUUUUCCCAUGGGUCACUGGGGUGGGCAUGGUAAAAUGUGGGGGCACUGUGUGGAAACCACUUCUGUGAUGAAGUCUAUGUCCGAUGUUCACGCUGAGUGAAUAUAUAGAAUAUACACCAUACAACAGAUCGUACGGAAGAGAACGUUCCCGUACAUCAUUUGCCUAGGAUAUUUGGGACAUGACACAGGACUGGGAGCUAAAGAGAAAACAAAGGCUGCAAUGCCCAAGAGAGGAUGAUAUUUUUAGGUGGGCUAGGGUACGAGAUAACACACUUUUAAAACUUAACUUGCCCUAGGAAUGAAAUCUUUCCACUUAAGUGUCAGAAAAUGGACAGUUCCUCGGUAAUAUUAGCUGAAACUUGGCGUGUGUAGACCUACUUCUCUACUUGGUGGCUUGGACUGGCUGGAAGUUUCCGCCUGGGUCCUGGGGUAACACUGACCUUGCCCGGCAGACGCAUGAGGGUCUGCGUGCUCUUAGAGUGGUCAGAGAAGAAAACGCUGAGAGUUUGGGCAAAGGCAGUGAUGCUUAUUUGGAUUUCAAACGUGUUCCUUGGAAAACAUGGACGUCUUUAACUUUGUCCCACCUAUUAAAUUUAGAACGAGAGCAGCAUAGAAACUGUUUUCUUCCUCUUUUUUUUUUUUUGCUAUUUUUAUCAUCGCAUAAAUGUAUCUAAUGCUUCAAUCAAAAUACGCAGUAAAAAAAGAGAAAACAGAGUAAGCAGUGCAUGGAGUAUCACAGUUUAAACCUAAGUGUUUAAAGAAAUUGGCAAAGUGUGUAUCAGCAUAAAUACUUAUGCAAAAGUAAAAAGACACCAGCCACGCGCUAUAGACAUGCCUGGGGAAAGCGCCACGGCAGCAGACCUGGUUAGUUUACAUUUAACAGUGAUUUUAAAUCAUAUUAACACUCGCAAUUGAAGGGAUACUUUAAAGCAAAUAAACGAAAAGUUUUUAAAGAAUGAAACCCUGAAGAAAAC